rnacentral:rRNA from 1 species
UACAGAGGGUGCGAGCGUUGUCCGGAAUCACUGGGCGUAAAGGGCGCGUAGGUGGCGCCCCAAGUCCGUGGUGAAAGCUCGAUGCUCAACAUCGAGUCGGCCACGGAAACUGGGGGGCUCGAGCACUGUAGAGGCAGAUGGAAUUCCGGGUGUAGCGGUGGAAUGCGUAGAGAUCCGGAAGAACACCGGUGGCGAAGGGCGGUCGA